CAUCUGCAAAGCAGAGAGCAAGUCCUGACUAGAAACAGAAUCUACUAGCACCUUUAUCUUAAACUUUCCAACCUCCAAAACUGUUGGCAGUCGACUCAACGCAGGCAGUUAUGGUGGCAGACACAUUCCAGAUGGAAAGAUCAUCCUGUUUCCAGACACUGUAACAAAGGCUUUGGCAGUUGGACAGAAAUACACUGGCCCCC
rnacentral:lncRNA from 1 species